rnacentral:rRNA from 1 species
UACGUAGGGACCGAGCGUUGUCCGGAUUCAUUGGGCGUAAAGAGCUCGUAGGCGGCCACUCAAGUCGAAUGUGAAACCUCGAGGCUCAACCUCGAGCCUGCAUUCGAUACUGGGCGGCUAGAGUCUGGUAGGGGGAUCUGGAAUUCCUGGUGUAGCGGUGGAAUGCGCAGAUAUCAGGAGGAACACCGGUGGCGAAGGCGGGAUCCUGGGCCAGUACUGACGCUGAGGAGCGAAAGCGUGGGGAGCGAACGAGG